rnacentral:rRNA from 1 species
UACGAAGGGGGCUAGCGUUGCUCGGAAUUACUGGGCGUAAAGCGCACGUAGGCGGUCUUUUAAGUCGGGGGUGAAAUCCUGGAGCUCAACUCGAGAACUGCCUUCGAUACUGGAAGACUUGAGUCCGGGAGAGGUGAGUGGAACUGCGAGUGUAGAGGUGAAAUUCGUAGAUAUUCGCAAGAACACCAGUGGCGAAGGCGGCUCACUGGCCCGGUACUGACGCUGAGGUGCGAAAGCGUGGGGAGCAAACAGG